CAUAGGUACCGUGAAAAGGAAAAUUUGUUUCUCUGGAAGAUAUUACGUGGUUACAAUCUGUGACUGCAUGUUUCUUCUUAACACGGCCAAAGCAAAGUCCAAGCCUCAAUGUUGGAAGAAUUUAGAAGACAAAUCCUUUUGGGGGAUGAUAUGUGGAAAUAAAGGAGCUUCAGAGUAUGAAAUUCAUUCACACCUUCACAUGGGGUGCUGCCUACACACUCUUCUGGACGUAUUGCCAACAUCAUCUCUGAAGAAUGGAUCUGGACUAAGAGUUUAAAUGGGGAAAAACAGAGCAAGAUGGAGUAACCAACCAUGAUGAUUGGCUGCAAGCCUAUGCCAAACCAUAACACUGUCUGCAGAGGACCAGGAAAUGGACCCUUCUCUCUCCAAAAGCAGGCAGAGUGGCAUGUUCCUUGUGCAAGCUGGAGGACUCCCAAGUCCUCUCUUACAAAAAGCUCAUUCAUCUGAAACUUAAAGUGUGGGCCCCAAUAGCCAAUUGUAUGAGGUUAACUUAUUCAUGACGCUGGCAGGCAGUUCAUGUCAGCAGCGGGUCCCUGAACAAGAGCCCUCUCUAGUUGUCAGCUAUCUGUCUAAUCUGUGUAUCUUUUAACAAAGCAUUGUGUUUUUAUGUGUAUCAGUAAAGGCUAAUUCUAGAAAGGUCAGUUAUAAGGAGGCUUAGACCCACCUCAGGAAUAGUGCAAUAUCCUGGAGCUAGAAGCAGCAAAAUUGGUCCCAAUGAGAGAUGGUGACCAGGACCCAGAGAGAGACUAGUGUGGAGAUGGCUUCCUGAGAGGAGCAGUGGCCUUUGGUGGAGGGACUAGGCCACAAUGGCCUCACGAGGAAAAAUCUAGGAGAAUGAUUUCCUAACCACAUUUGUCUAUUUUCCUCUCAUCUCUGACAGGGGCUCCCCGUUGUUCAAACCUAGCUGGAAGUCAGGGGAUACAGAAAACCUGAACAUGUACUCCUUUCCAGUCAGCCUCUGGGGCAAAGAGCAGAUGGAGGAAAACUUUUAUUUGUGGACUCCUUUGAUAAAACACAGACAAACUUUCUGAGGGUCAUUGGAAGCCAGCACUCAUGGGCAGCAUGAUAGAUCACACAGUGUCAAAAAUAAUGAUGUAACCAGCUUUAAAUAAAUG